rnacentral:rRNA from 2 species
UGGAUCCAGACUUUGAUUCUGGCUCAGGAUGAACGCUAGCUACAGGCUUAACACAUGCAAGUCGAGGGGAAACGACAUCGAAAGCUUGCUUUUGAUGGGCGUCGACCGGCGCACGGGUGAGUAACGCGUAUCCAACCUGCCCACCACUUGGGGAUAACCUUGCGAAAGUAAGACUAAUACCCAAUGACGUCUCUAGAAGACAUCUGAAGGAGAUUAAAGAUUUAUCGGUGAUGGAUGGGGAUGCGUCUGAUUAGCUUGUUGGCGGGGUAACGGCCCACCAAGGCUACGAUCAGUAGGGGUUCUGAGAGGAAGGUCCCCCACAUUGGAACUGAGACACGGUCCAAACUCCUACGGGAGGCAGCAGUGAGGAAUAUUGGUCAAUGGACGAGAGUCUGAACCAGCCAAGUAGCGUGCAGGAUGACGGCCCUAUGGGUUGUAAACUGCUUUUAUAAGGGAAUAAAGUGAGUCUCGUGAGGCUUUUUGCAUGUACCUUAUGAAUAAGGACCGGCUAAUUCCGUGCCAGCAGCCGCGGUAAUACGGAAGGUCCGGGCGUUAUCCGGAUUUAUUGGGUUUAAAGGGAGCGUAGGCCGGAGAUUAAGCGUGUUGUGAAAUGUAGACGCUCAACGUCUGCACAGCAGCGCGAACUGGUUUCCUUGAGUACGCACAAAGUGGGCGGAAUUCGUGGUGUAGCGGUGAAAUGCUUAGAUAUCACGAAGAACUCCGAUUGCGAAGGCAGCUCACUGGAGCGCAACUGACGCUGAA